AUCCAGCUGAUGAAUCCUAGAUUAGGACGAAACGCAUUUCCUGGAU
rfam:Schistosoma rodhaini strain Burundi genome assembly, scaffold: SROB_scaffold0002259